UGGGGAAUAUUGGGCAAUGGGCGAAAGCCUGACCCAGCAACGCCGCGUGAAGGACGAAAUCCCUCGGGAUGUAAACUUCGUAGUCAGGGGAAGAAAGUCUUGGAUUGAAUACAUCCGAGGCCUGACGGUACCCUGGGUAAGCCACGGCUAACUACGUGCCAGCAGCCGCGGUACUACGUAGGUGGCAAGCGUUGUUCGGAAUUACUGGGCGUAAAGCGUGCGCAGGCGGUUAUGCAAGACAGAUGUGAAAUCCCCGGGCUCAACCUGGGAACUGCAUUUGUGACUGUAUAGCUAGAGUACGGGAGAGGGAUGCGGAAUUCCAGGUGUAGCGGUGAAAUGCGUAGAUAUCGGGAGGAACACCUGUGGCGAAGGCGGCCACCUGGUUGGAUACUGACGCUGAGACGCGAAAGCGUGGGGAGCAAACAGGAUUAGAUACCCUUGUAGUCCCUGAGCGGGCUGGCAAGGCGCAU
rnacentral:rRNA from 1 species